GACCGACUAGCUCAGUUGAUUAGAGCGUCGUGCUAAUAUUGCAUACAAGUGCAGCAGAUAUCAACGCGAAGGUCUUGGGUUCGAUCCCCACGUUGGCCA